AUAACCUUUUAAAGAUUGCCCAGAGAGGCAAAGAAGGGUGCUGUGAUUUGUACGGAAGUAGUCUAUACACUACCUCUCUACCUUAUCAUACCCAUCUUAAGCCUCCCUAACCAAAUUUAGGGAGGCUUUUCUUAU
rfam:Kurthia sp. 11kri321, complete genome.